rnacentral:misc_RNA from 1 species
UCUCCGUAGGUGAACCUGCAGAGGGAUCAUUACAGAGUUCGUGCCCUCACGGGUAGAUCUCCCACCCUGUGUUAUUAUACCUUUGUUGCUUUGGCGGGCCGCCCUCGGCUACCGGCCCCGGCUGGUACGCGCCCGCCAGAGGACCCCAAACUCUGAAUGUUAGUGUCGUCUGAGUACUAUACAAUAGUUAAAACUUUCAACAACGGAUCUCUUGGUUCUG